UGGAUCCAGACUUUGAUUAUGGCUCAGGAUAAACGCUGGCGGCGCACAUAAGACAUGCAAGUCGAACGGACUUAACCGAAGUAUUUAUAUUUUGGAGCGGUUAGUGGCGGACUGGUGAGUAACACGUAAGCAACCUGCCUAUUGGAGGGGAAUAACAGUGAGAAAUCAUUGCUAAUACCGCAUAUGCUGUGAGUAUCGCAUGAUACAAACAGGAAAGGAGCAAUCCGCUAAUAGAUGGGCUUGCGUCUGAUUAGAUAGUUGGUGGGGUAAUGGCCUACCAAGUCGACGAUCAGUAGCCGGACUGAGAGGUUGAACGGCCACAUUGGGACUGAGAUACGGCCCAGACUCCUACGGGAGGCAGCAGUCGGGAAUAUUGCACAAUGGAGGAAACUCUGAUGCAGUGACGCCGCGUGCAGGAAGAAGGUUUUCGGAUUGUAAACUGCUUUAGACAGGGAAGAAGAAAGACAGUACCUGUAGAAUAAGCUCCGGCUAACUACGUGCCAGCAGCCGCGGUAAUACGUAGGGAGCAAGCGUUAUCCGGAUUUAUUGGGUGUAAAGGGUGCGUAGACGGGAAUUUAAGUUAGUUGUGAAAUCCCUCGGCUUAACUGAGGAACUGCAACUAAAACUGAAUUUCUUGAGUGCGGGAGAGGAAAGUGGAAUUCCUAGUGUAGCGGUGAAAUGCGUAGAUAUUAGGAGGAACACCAGUGGCGAAGGCGACUUUC
rnacentral:rRNA from 1 species